rnacentral:miRNA from 1 species
UAGAGCAUCUGGUACAAAGGAG